rnacentral:rRNA from 1 species
UACGUAGGAUCCAAGCGUUGUCCGGAUUUACUGGGUGUAAAGGGUGCGCAGGCGGGCUGGUAAGUCUGGGGUGAAAUCUCGCCGCUUAACGGCGAAACUGCCUUAGAUACUAUCAGUCUUGGAUAAGCGAGAGGUUCGUGGAAUUCCGAGUGUAGCAGUGAAAUGUGUAGAUAUUCGGAAGAACACCAGUGGCGAAGGCGACUCGCUGGUCUUUUGCUGACGCUGAGACGCGAAAGCGUGGGGAGCAAACAGG